rnacentral:lncRNA from 1 species
UCAGGCGUCAAGACGCGGCCAUUCUCUCCCACACUCCCAGUGAUGGAUAAUCUGGCUUUGUUUCUUAUGGCUUCAGAAAAGGACACAAAUAUUGCUGACGUCUCUGAUGGAAAAACUGCUGUAUUGCCUAAAAUGUCUAUUUACCUUAGUGAUACUUUGAGCAUAAAAGUUGAAUUUCAUCUAAUAAAUGUGAAUUGUAGUCAAAAUUCUGAUGAUCACUCUUCCUUAAAGGUCUGGCUCAAGGACUACCAUCAGAACUCUAUCAAAGCCACCAGCAUUGCCAAGCCCAAGCCGCCAACCAGAAUGUAGAAGACGCCUGCUACAUUGCUCAGGCUCA